GGUGGAUCCUGGGCGACGCUGGAGGACCUCCGGAUGGGUCAGAAAGCCUGGUGGAGGCCGCAUGGCUGGUAUUUGGCUGGAAGUGGCCCCUGGACUCCUGGACCAUGUCUUAAGUACCUGGGAGGCAGAGCUAAGGAAGACAACCCGCAAACCAGUGGUGGGUUGCCCC